rnacentral:rRNA from 1 species
ACUCCUACGGGAGGCAGCAGUGGGGAAUAUUGCACAAUGGGCGCAAGCCUGAUGCAGCCAUGCCGCGUGUGUGAAGAAGGCCUUCGGGUUGUAAAGCACUUUCAGUCAGGAGGAAAGGUUAGUAGUUAAUACCUGCUAGCUGUGACGUUACUGACAGAAGAAGCACCGGCUAACUCCGUGCCAGCAGCCGCGGUAAUACGGAGGGUGCGAGCGUUAAUCGGAAUUACUGGGCGUAAAGCGUACGCAGGCGGUUUGUUAAGCGAGAUGUGAAAGCCCCGGGCUCAACCUGGGAACUGCAUUUCGAACUGGCAAACUAGAGUGUGAUAGAGGGUGGUAGAAUUUCAGGUGUAGCGGUGAAAUGCGUAGAGAUCUGAAGGAAUACCGAUGGCGAAGGCAGCCACCUGGGUCAACACUGACGCUCAUGUACGAAAGCGUGGGGAGCAAACAGGAUUAGAUACCCUGGUAGUCCACGCCGUAAACGAUGUCUACUAGAAGCUCGGAACCUCGGUUCUGUUUUUCAAAGCUAACGCAUUAAGUAGACCGCCUGGGGAGUACGGCCGCAAGGUUAAAACUCAAAGGAAUUGACGG